CAAUUGAAGAGUUUGAUCCUGGCUCAGAUUGAACGCUGGCGGCAUGGCUAAAACAUGCAAGUCGAACGAUGAAAGCACCUUCGGGUGUGCAUGAAGUGGCGAAAGGGCGAGGAAUACGUUCCUACGUACCCCAAGGUCAGGGAUAGCCCCGGGAAACUGGGAGUAAUACCUGAUGACAUCUCCGGAUCAAAGGCUUCGGCCACCUUGGGAGCGGGGAACGCCCUAUCAGGUUGUUGGUGAGGUAACGGCUCACCAAGCCAAAGACGGGUAGCGGGUGUGAGAGCAUGACCCGCCGCAUCGGGACUGAGACACUGCCCGGACUCCUACGGGAGGCUGCAGUAACGAAUAUUCCGCAAUGCGCGAAAGCGUGACGGAGCAAUGCCGCGUGUGGGAUGAAUCUCUUCGGAGUGUAAACCACUGUCAGAGUUUAGGAACUCAAUGACCAGACUCAAAGGAAGGACCGGCUAACUUCGUGCCAGCAGCCGCGGUAAUACGAAGGGUCCGAGCGUUAAUCGGAAUCACUGGGCUUAAAGCGUGCGUAGGCGGACUUGAAGGCACCUUGUGAAAUCCCUCGGCUCAACCGAGGAACUGCAGGGUGAACCAUGAGUCUCGAGACAGGUAGAGGUUGUCGGAACGAUAGGUGGAGUGGUGAAAUGCGUUGAUAUCUAUCGGAACGCCAAUGGAGAAGUCAGGCAACUGGGCCUGUUCUGACGCUGAGGCACGAAAGCGUGGGUAGCGAACGGGAUUAGAUACCCCGGUAGUCCACGCCGUAAACGAUGCGUACUAGGUUGGGGAAGCUCUGACGCUGUUCCCGGCUGAAGCAAAAGUAUUAAGUACGCCGCCUGGGGAGUACGGUCGCAAGGCUAAAACUCAAAGGAAUUGACGGGGGCUCACACAAGCGGUGGAGCAUGUGGCUUAAUUCGAAGCAACGCGAAGAACCUUAUCCUGGGCUUGACAUGUACGAAUUAGCCUGUCGAAAGACAGGUGACGCCUUCGGGUGGAACGUACACAGGUGCUGCAUGGCUGUCGUCAGCUCGUGCUGUGAAGUGUCGGGUUAAGUCCCUUAACGAGCGCAACCCCUGUCGUUAGUUGCUAGCAGGUAAUGCUGAGGACUCUAACGAGACUGCCGGUGUUAAACCGGACGAAGGUGGGGAUGACGUCAAGUCCUCAUGGCCUUUAUGCCCAGGGCUGCACACGUGCUACAAUGGCAGGUACAGAACGAUGCAAUACCGCGAGGUGGAGCAAAUCGGAAAACGCCAGCCCCAGUUCGGAUUGCAGGCUGCAACUCGCCUGCAUGAAGUUGGAAUCGCUAGUAAUCGCGGAUCAGCAUGCCGCGGUGAAUACGUUCCUGAGCCUUGUACACACCGCCCGUCAAGUCAUGGAAGCUGGUAGCGCCCGAAGUCGCCCUGCUUCAGGGGUGCCGAAGGUGAGCUCGGUGACUGGGACUAAGUCGUAACAAGGUAGCCGUAGGGGAACCUGCGGCUGGAUCACCUCCUUU
rnacentral:rRNA from 1 species